AUGCAUGUCAAAAUAUAUGCCAUAUUAAGGGGAAACUAUGAGUGGCUGAUUAAAUCAGUUAUUGUUCUUUGGAUCAUACUUUACUACUUGGAUAAUUGAGCAAUUCUAGAGCUAAUACAUGCAGCUGAGAUCUGACCCUCUGGGGACAAUUGCUUUUAUUAGACCAAAAUCAGUUGGACUUCAUGUUUGUGUUAUGUGGCAAUUCUGUAACUUUGGGCUGAUCACAUGGACUUGUCUUGGCAACAUAUAUUUCAGGGGUUUGCCUUAUCAACUCUCGGUGGUAGGUUAGCACCUACGCCAGUCAAAAUGGGUGAGAGGGAAUUGAGGUUUGAUUUCAAAGGAGGGGGGCUGAGAAAUCUGUACCGCAUCCAAAGAAAGGCAGUA
rnacentral:ncRNA from 1 species